rnacentral:rRNA from 1 species
GACAAACGCUAGCGGCAGGCUUAAUACAUGCAAGUCGUGGGGCAGCAUGUCCCGCAGCAAUGCGGGAUGAUGGCGACCGGCAAACGGGUGCGGAACACGUACACAACCUUCCUUUAAGUGGGGAAUAGCCCAGGGAAACUUGGAUUAAUACCCCGUAAUAUAUAGAAGCGGCAUCGCUUUUAUAUUAUAGCAGCAAUGCGCUUGAAGAUGGGUGUGCGGCUGAUUAGGUAGUUGGCGGGGUAAUGGCCCACCAAGCCGACGAUCAGUAACUGGUGUGAGAGCACGACCAGUCACACGGGCACUGAGACACGGGCCCGACUCCUACGGGAGGCAGCAGUAAGGAAUAUUGGUCAAUGGACGCAAGUCUGAACCAGCCAUGCCGCGUGGAGGAUGAAGGUCCUCUGGAUUGUAAACUUCUUUUAUCUGGGAAGAAAUCCAUUUUUUCUAAAAUGGUUGACGGUACCAGAUGAAUAAGCACCGGCUAACUCCGUGCCAGCCGCCGCUGUAAGAC